GUCAGACUUACUGCUGCUCAGGCCCUAUCUCAUCCAUGGGUUAGAGAAGGAGGGGAUGCAUCUGAAAUACCUAUUGACAUAUCUGUUCUGAGCAAUAUGCGACAAUUUGUGAUGUACAGUCGUUUGAAACAAUUUGCUCUAAGGGCAUUGGCUAGCACACUGGAUGAUGGGGAGCUGGCUGAUCUUCGGGNAUUUGAUGCAAUUGAUGUUGAUAAAAAUGGUUCUAUUAGUCUUGAAGAGAUGAGACAGGCACUUGCUAAAGACCUUCCUUGGAAGUUGAAAGACUCUCGUGUCUUGGAAAUUCUUCAAGCCAUUGACAGCAACACAGAUGGACUUGUUGAUUUCUCCGAAUUUGUUGCUGCUGCUCUACAUGUGCAUCAACUAGAGGAACACAAUUCUGAGAAGUGGCAUCUGCGUUCACAGGCUUGAUCUUGAUAAGGAUGGAUAUAUAACACCAGAAGAACUAAGAAUGCACACGGGCUUGAAAGGUUCCAUUGACCCACUUCUUGAGGAGGCUGAUAUUGAUAAAGAUGGUAAAAUAAGCCUUUC
rnacentral:misc_RNA from 1 species